CAGUCGCCGCGGUAAUACGUAGGGAGCAAGCGUUGUUCGGAUUUACUGGGCGUAAAGGGCGCGUAGGCGGCGCGGUAAGUCACUUGUGAAAUCUCUGAGCUUAACUCAGAACGGCCAAGUGAUACUGCUGUGCUAGAGUGCGGAAGAGGCAACCGGAAUUCUUGGUGUAGCGGUGAAAUGCGUAGAUAUCAAGAGGAACACCUGAGGCGAAGGCGGGUUGCUGGGCCGACACUGACGCUGAUGCGCGAAAGCCAGGGGAGCAAACGGGAUUAGAUACCCGUGUAGUCCCUGUCUCUUAUAC
rnacentral:rRNA from 1 species